GAUGAAGAACGUAGCGAAAUGCGAUAGGUAGUGUGAAUUGCAGAUGUAACGUGAAUCAUCGAAUCUUUGAACGCAAAUUGCACUCUCUGGUAUUCCGGGGAGUAUGCCUGUUUGAGGGUCGCCAAAUCAACAUCGAAAUUCAUUUGCUUUUGUAAAUGUUUAUCGGAUUUGAGCCGUCUUAUUUUUUUAAUUAAAGUGGCUUAAAAUGUAUUUUUUGGUAUCGAAAAACGUUAUUUUACGAUCAAAUUGAUUAAAAAAACAAACGUUUCGAAUGCCGUCUUUUAAUGUAAUACGCUUGACUGUGGUGUUAAUCAUAGUUUUCAUUCGUAUACGAUUUUUUAAUUUUUGACCUCAAAUCAGGUAAGAACACCCGCUGAACUUAAGCAUAUCAAUAAGCGGAGGA
rnacentral:misc_RNA from 1 species